rnacentral:lncRNA from 1 species
UUCUUUUUUUCCCCAAGAACUUGACAUUUCCCCUCCCUCUGGUGCCCACAACUACGGAAGCAGCCUUGGCUGGCACAUGGCAUCUCUUCGGGACUCAAGAGUCACUACAGCUUCCAGGCCAUGCCUCAGGAACUGCUUCAGAAACUACUUGCAGUCAUUUGAGUCCUCUCUGGUCUGGGUUCUGGGUCCAUGGGAUUGUCCUGCUGCAGAAGGCCUCAGAUAUCUGCCAUUCCCGAGCCACGCUGAAGUGGAACCAUGGAUAGACAUGCUCUGGAGGGAAGUACUGACGGGAGAUGCUCUGCCUGGGAGCUCCAGGCCCUCUGCUCUUUCCAGGCCUGGGGACCGGCUGGAAGGUGGGCUGCUGAUGUCUCAGUCUGCUUCUGGCUUUCCAGGAAGGAAAGUGGCCUGAAGGGCUUCUUAAGUCAUCAAUGAAAAUGUAAAUCACUCUUCUGGUAAUUCAUUCCUGGCCACGGUCAGACAUGAUCCGUAACCUCUAAGGGCCUUAUGCAUGUCUGUGGACUGCAGCCCGCCAGGCUCCUCUGUCUACGGGGUUCUCCAGGCAGGACAACUGGAGUGGCUUGCCAUUUCCUCCUCCACAGGAUCUUCCUGACCCAGGGACUGAACCCGCGUCUCUCACGUCUCCUGCACUGGCAGGCAGGUUCUUACCGCUAGCGCCACCUGGGAAGCACCCAGGCCUUAUAUCAAAGUCUUUUUGUCGUUUCUGUUCUAGUUGUUUUAAUCAUCUUUAAAAGGAGAGAAAGCUUCUCAUUGUAUUCUCGAUCCUAUUGUGUAGACAGUUUGAAACAAGGAGACCGGUUUUCUUGGAUAACUGUUGAAUGGAUUAACUUCAAAUGGGAGUCCUGGGAGGGCUGUGAACAGCACAGCAAGUGAGCAGCUGUUUCUGUUAAAAUACGUGGCCAGCCCGGACACGGGCUCCGCCGCCGAUCGCUUGGCCCGUCACCCUUAGGUGGGCUGGCCAGGCUGUCCCCAGAUACACAGCCGUGGGAAUGAACUCCUCCGGGCCCUUCCUUCAGUCCCCAGCCCAUCUCCCGAGCACUUCUCUUACCCUGCCUGCUGCUCCUCUCUAGCUCGUGACCGGGGCAUCUCAGCUCUUGCCUGCAGCUUCUGGCCUCCCUCACCCGUCAUCAGCCCUGGUGCCUGGUGAGCUGCCCCCGUGGCCACCCCUGCACUCUGCUUCGCACUCACACUUGGGUCACUCUGGGUCACACCCCCAGUCCUGCGGGACCCUGAGCCCUCACCCCAAGGCUAGUGCACAUGUGUAUGUGGGCGUACACUUGCCUCAAGAGAAAGGUACUAACAGACUUGUUUUACAAACACCUUUUAAUGGGUUUUCAGUAGAUCUGACCAGUUCUGCAAUAGUCCUUCGUUGUACAAGUUCAGCAUUUUUGGUUAUUGACUCAUUGACUGACAUCUAUUAAGACCUACUCAGGAGGAGUGCUAGGCUUCACAUUCAGAAGUUACUGGUUACCUUCAGUCUUGAAGUGGACGUAAGGGUGAUCUGACUGUGAGGUCUGUCUCCCCACACAUAGGUGAGUUGACCACACUUUAUCUCCAUGGUUGAGAUAGACAUUUUCCCGCCAAGUCCACACGAGCAUUUCCUGAAGCUGUCAGAAGAGAGACGUCAUUCCCAGAUGGAUCACUGCUUCAUAAAGUGCCUGCACGUUGUCAAGUGCAAGCACUGGAAGUAGAGUUUGGUGUACAGUGUAUUUAUGUCCAUUGAAAGAGCAAAGGAGAAACUAAAUAUAUAGAAGCUCUGGAAGAGUGAGCAAGAAAAUGAUAACGUAGAAUUCUUCUGAAGAAGGGAUUCUGGCAGCUUGGGAGUCGGGGGAAGAAGGGAAAUUUUUCACUGUUUGUACUUUUGCAACUUUGGAAUUUUAAAUUCUGUGAAUAUUAUGGCUUAAAAAAAAAACAAGUAAAAUUUAUUUUUAAAUGUUAAGUCCUUGAAAAGGAGGUGGGGCUAAGAUGCUAUCACCUGGAAUCUUGAGCGAACUGAUGAGAAUGGCACACAAGUAUAGAUACUGAAAGUGAAUCCGUGGGAAAUCAUGGAAGAAAGAAGUGGAACUCCGCAGUAGAGGAUUAGGUGUGGUAGCUAUUGUUGUUGCUUCCUGAAAAUAUAUUGUCCACCACUCAUGAAUGUGCACCUGCUGGGUCUCUGGCCCAUGGCUGGGAAGGGAGUGGGCAGGUGGAUGACAGGCCUAAGUAAGAUGCUCGUGGGAAGCUUCGUGCUGUAGUGAAUCUGAGACUGCCAGCUGCAUUCCUUCUACCUAAACACAAGUGUGGGUUUCUGUGAGGGUCCAGCAUCAAUUAGGGAUUUGAAAACUGGCAAAGUGUUUAUCUUUGUGAGGCCGUCUGAAUUUUAGGCAGGAAGAUACUGGGUUUGGUGAUACCCUGUCACAGUAUCUUCCUUAGUGAAUGUCUCUUCUCAAAACAGAAUAAAUUUGUGUUCCUUGGUGUAAACAGUAAAUAACAUACACAGAAGGAGUGCUAGGCUUCACAUUCAGAAGUUACUGGUUACCUUCAGUCUUGAAGUGGACGUAAGGGUGAUCUGACUGUGAGGUCUGUCUCCCCACACAUAGGUGAGUUGACCACACUUUAUCUCCAUGGUUGAGAUAGACAUUUUCCCGCCAAGUCCACACGAGCAUUUCCUGAAGCUGUCAGAAGAGAGACGUCAUUCCCAGAUGGAUCACUGCUUCAUAAAGUGCCUGCACGUUGUCAAGUGCAAGCA